rnacentral:lncRNA from 1 species
AAAGGUUUAAACGCUGUGAUUAUUUUAAGCUCGGGUUUAUAUGUUGUAGGCUUUGAGCAUUGCCCGAGGCCUUUCUCUGAAGGGGAAAGAUGAGGCCCAAAAGACUACUGAACUCGAGGACUCUUCUCGAGUACUGGAGAAGAGGAUAGCUGACUUGGAGGCUGAACGGUUCCACCUCCGGAAGGAGCUCGAGGAUUCGAAAAAUGAUGCCCAUAGAGCUCGAGAAGAGGCUGGAACUGCUAAGGGCGAGGCUGAAGGUUUAAAGCUCGAGAUCGAGCGUUUGAAGGCUGAUUUUGAGGCUCGCCUGGCUGAAGCUCGAGGGGUCACGAUUGAGGACUUUAAAAUGUCCGAGGAGUUUAACGGCCUCAAGGGGGAGUAUGCUAUGGGCUCGUACUUCCAUGCCUUCAAGGAAGCUCGGGC